UUGUGUGUGCAUCUGGAUACUCAGAGGUCCUGACUGUAGACCUGACAACAACAAACUUAGAGUGACUAAAUGGGUGCCCUCCACCAUAUCAUACAUUUGAAGAACCUACAUACGUCAACUUAAAAUAAGAAAGGAAGGAAUCGAACCCUCUAUAACUGGUUUCAAGCCAACAUCAUAGCCACUAUGUCUUUCUCAAUU